rnacentral:rRNA from 1 species
UACAGAGGGGGCAAGCGUUGUUCGGAAUUACUGGGCGUAAAGGGCGCGUAGGCGGCCAUACUGAAGUGAGAAUAACCUCCCGGGCUUCAACCCGGGGAACUGCGUCCGAUACUGGUCGAGCUUGAAUUGGGAGAGGGAUGUGACGUACUCGAGUAGCGGUGAAAUGCGUAGAUAUCUGGAGGAACACCGGUGGCGAAGGCGGCAUCCUGGACCAACACUGACGCUGAGGAGCGAAAAGCCAGGGGAGCAAACGGG